UCCUACAGGGCCACCUGUACCCUUUUUUACUAUGCUUCCAGUAUAUAAUUUUCCGACUGAGUCAGGAACUUCUGACACAUCAACAAGCAAUAAUGGGGAAGAAUUGAUGGAUAACAGUGAUUCUGGUCAGAAUUUGAUUCAUCUGAGGGGUAUGAGCAGCCUGAGGUGUCAAGUCCUCCUAAUUCUACUAGAAGGGCUGUUUUUGAGUCAUCAGAGCACAAGUCUGACAUUCUUAACAGUGACUUUGCGAGCCAUUGGCAAAAUUUGCAAUAUGGGCGAUUUUGUCAAAACUCACGCCAUCCAUCUUCAAUGAUCCAUCCUUCACCUGUGCCUCCUGUUUAUUUGCAGGGUCGUUUUCCUUGGGAUGGUCCUGGAAGACCUCUUUCAACUAACAUGAAUCUUUUUGCUCAGUUUAUGAACUAUGGGCCACAACUAGUUCCUGUUGCCCCUCUUCAGUCGGUUUUGAACAGACCUGCCAAUAUUUACCAACGUUUUGCGGAUGAGAUGCCACGAUAUCGAAGUGGCACUGGAACAUACCUGCCAAAUCCUAAAGUCUCUGCUCGAGACCGACAAUCUGCAAACCGAAGGGGAAAUUACAACUAUGAGAGAGGUGAACACCAUGGUGACAGGGAAGGAAACUGGAACAUGAGUUCAAAGAUGCGAGCAACUGGACGUGGUCAUAAUCGCUUCCAAACUGAGAGGCCAAACUCAAAGCCAGAGAGGUUGGCAACAAGUGAGAGCCGAGCUGAAAGGCCAUGGCGGUCGCAUAGACAUGACUCCUCUAUGUCUUACCACACUCAGAAUGGUCCCGUACGCUCAAAUUCCUCACAGAACACUUCUUCCAAUGUGGCAUAUGGGAUGUAUUCUCUGCCUGGCAUGAACCCCAGUGGGGUCUCAUCAAAUGGACCGGCAAUGCCAUCAGUUGUGAUGCUGUACCCUUACCAGCAUAAUGCUGGCUACAGUUCACCAGCAGAACACCUGGAGUUUGGAUCUUUUGGAUCUAUGGGUUUCUCAGGUGUUCAUGAAGUAUCACUAAAUGAGGGAAGCGGAUCUGGUGGAGCGUUUGAGGAGCAAAGGUUUCAUGGAGGUUCUGCUCAUCGAUCCUCACCAGAUCAACCCUCUUCACCCCACCUCUCAAGGUAGCUUACCCCAUCUGCUCAUGCCUUUUACUGGAUAGGACCAAAGAGAAUAGUCAAAGAAGUCUAAGACCAUGCAAUAAUGAAAUGGUCGCAUGACCGCAAAACUCGUGUCCAGUUUUUAGGUGAACUUGAUUAUUUUGCCAGAUCAGCGGCCAAGGAGCAAUUCGAGGUUGAAAGAGGAGGAUGGUAUUCUGCCUCCUUAUUAGGACCUGGGAGACAAGUUGAGUGGAGAAAACUACAAUGAGAAAACUACCCUCAAUGAGGCAUCAUUCAUGUUCUCAUCCCACAGUUGAGUGGGAAGAUUUAUUUGUUCGAAUCAUAGUCGAUCUUUCAUGUGAAAGUUGCCUCUCUUGUGGCUCAGAUGUUGCAUCAUGUACACUUACCAAGCUAUUAACCACCUUCGUUUAUAUUUGUGCCUAACACCUUGUUCAAAGGAUGAAGCCACGGUGACAAAAGAGGGAUGCCUAACUUGGUGAUUAGUUUGCCAUUGAAGGUUGAUACAGUUGUAACAGUAUCAGUGUAGAAAAGUGGCCUUUAGGUUCAGAAUUUAGAUAUCUCUUCUUACCUAGUUACAGGUUUUUUCCCAGCCACACUCCAUGACAGUGGAGUAGGAUAUUGUUUUAGAGGAUGCAUUAGAUCUUCGUCGAAUCCUCAUAGCGCCUUUUACACUGUAGCAGUAACAAUAUCAGAAGUUAAUAAUACGUCAUUUAAACCCACGUU